rnacentral:rRNA from 1 species
GACGAACGCUGGCGGCGUGCUUAACACAUGCAAGUCGAGCGGUAAGGCCCUUUCGGGGGUACACGAGCGGCGAACGGGUGAGUAACACGUGGGUGACCUGCCCUCAGCUCUGGGAUAAGCCCGGGAAACUGGGUCUAAUACUGGAUAUUACUCUGCGGUGCAUGCCGUGGGGUGGAAAGCCUUGUGCGGCUGGGGAUGGGCCCGCGGCCUAUCAGCUUGUUGGUGGGGUGAUGGCCACCAAGGCGACGACGGGUAGCCGGCCUGAGAGGGCGACCGGCCACACUGGGACGU